rnacentral:rRNA from 1 species
CCUACGGGUGGCACCAGUGGGGAAUAUUGGACAAUGGGGGGAACCCUGAUCCAGCCAUGCCGCGUGUGUGAAGAAGGCCUUAUGGUUGUAAAGCACUUUAAGCGAGGAGGAGGCUACUAGUACUAAUACUACUGGAUAGUGGACGUUACUCGCAGAAUAAGCACCGGCUAACUCUGUGCCAGCAGCCGCGGUAUACAGAGGGUGCGAGCGUUAAUCGGAUUUACUGGGCGUAAAGCGUGCGUAGGCGGCCAUUUAAGUCAAAUGUGAAAUCCCCGAGCUUAACUUGGGAAUUGCGUUCGAUACUGGAUGGCUAGAGUAUGGG